AUUGAACGCUGGCGGCAGGCCUAACACAUGCAAGUCGAACGAGUGGCGGACGGGUGAGUAAUGUCUGGGAAACUGACUGAUGGAGGGGGAUAACUACUGGACACGGUAGCUAAUACCGCAUACCAUCGGAUGUGCCCAGAUGGGAUUAGCUAGUAGGGGGGGUAAAGGCUCACCUAGGCGACGAUCCCUAGCUGGUCUGAGAGGAGGACCAGCAACACUGGAACUGAGACACGGUCCAGAAUCCUACGGGAGGCAGCAGUGGGGAAUAUUGCACAAUGGGCGCAAGCCUGAGGCAGCCAUGCCGCGUGUAUGAAGAAGGCCUUCGGGUUGUAAAGUACUGUCAGCGGGGAGGCGUUACCCGCAGAAGAAGCACCGGCUAACUCAGUGCCAGCCGCCGCGGUAAUAC
rnacentral:rRNA from 1 species